CCGUCGAUAGCUCAGUUGGUAGAGCGGUGGACUGUAGUGGGUACAAAGACAUCCAUAGGUCGCUGGUUCAAAUCCGGCUCGACGGA
rnacentral:tRNA from 1 species